UUCGGUCCUCUGUUAUUAAAAAAGCCUUAUAUCAAUUAAUAAUAAAAUUUAAUUCUCGCGUUUUGUUCCGAAUAAAAGUUUCUUUUUCGUCUCCGGAAAAACUGUAUCGUUUGAGCAAUCGGUCGUUGAGAGCGAUCGCUUACCUGCCGCGUGGCAAGAUUUCAGCUUUUGUGCUCAAGAGGAUUUUCAACUCGAACAACCACCUACCUGCUCGAUAUAUUUGAACGAGAUACAGACUGCAGUGCAAGAUAAUAAACGUGAUGAUGUGAUUAGUCCGAGCCUUUUAUUUCCACGACUGAUAAAAGAAUCGAAGAAAGGAUUAAAAAGUCACGAGAAAAAGCAUGCAGUAAACAAAAAUGUUAAAACAAAUUCAAUAGAUUUAGAUAACAAUAUAGAAAACAAGCCACCUACUGCAUCACUGGCUAGAUUGCAAAAGAAAAAGAAGAACAUUAACGAGUAGAUUAAUAUUAACAUGCGAUCCAAAGCUCAGAGAUCAAC